CCUACGGGUGGCAGCAGUGAGGAAUAUUGGUCAAUGGGCGCGAGCCUGAACCAGCCAAGUAGCGUGAGGGAUGACUGCCCUACGGGUUGUAAACUUCUUUUAUGCAGGGAUAAAGUGAGGCACGUGUGCCUUUUUGUAUGUACUUUAUGAAUAAGGAUCGGCUAACUCCGUGCCAGCAGCCGCGGUAAUACGGAGGGUCCGUGCGUUAUCCGGAUUUAUUGGGUUUAAAGGGAGCGUAGAUGGGUUGUUAAGCCAGCUGUGAAAGUUUGCGGCUCAACCGUAAAAGUGCAAUUGAUACUGGCAGCCUUGAGUACACGUGAGGCAGGCGGAAUUCGUGGUGUAGCGGUGAAAUGCUUAGAUAUCACGAAGAACCCCGAUUGCGAAGGCAGCCUACUAAACUGUCACUGACACUGAUGCUCGAAAGUGUGGGUAUCAAACAGGAUUAGAUACCCUGGUAGUC
rnacentral:rRNA from 1 species